GGGAAUCUUCCGCAAUGGGCGCAAGCCUGACGGAGCAACGCCGCGUGAGUGAAGAAGGGUUUCGACUCGUAAAGCUCUGUUGUCGGGGACGAAUGUGGAGGUUGUGAAUAACAGCUUCCAAUGACGGUACCUGACGAGGAAGCCACGGCUAACUACGUGCCAGCAGCCGCGGUAAUACGUAGGUGGCGAGCGUUGUCCGGAAUCAUUGGGCGUAAAGGGAGCGCAGGCGGGAAGGUAAGUCUAUCUUAAAAGUGCGGGGCUUAACCCCGUGAGGGGACCGAAACUGCGAUGCUAGAGUAUCGGAGAGGAAAGCGGAAUUCCUAGUGUAGCGGUGAAAUGCGUAGAUAUUAGGAGGAACACCAGUGGCGAAAGCGGCUUUCUGGACGACAACUGACGCUGAGGCGCGAAAGCCAGGGGAGCAAACGGGAUUAGAUACCCUGGUAGU
rnacentral:rRNA from 1 species